rnacentral:ribozyme from 1 species
CGUCCAGUAACUCCUAUCCCUACCUCCUCGUGGUGCCGCCUGGGAUACGAGUAAUCUUAGGGAAGAUUGGGUAACCAAUCCCUGUGGGACCUUGAUCGUAUGCUGACAGGGAAGG